rnacentral:lncRNA from 1 species
CCAAAUGCAACAUAGAUCACUGAGUUGGGUGGCUGUUGAUCCAGCCACUCUAAGCAAGUUAAGUCUUGUGGCCAGAAGUGGCCUGCUGAAUUCCCAAGCCGUCUGCUCGCCAAGAGCGGGCCUAUCGGUAGAAUGUUGGGUGCAAAGGUGAAUGUUGCUGGCUCAAGAUCAUACGCAGAGUUGCAAAGAAGCCAGUCCGCCACUUGCACAGCCUUGUUGCUUUUUAAAAUUGAUUGAAACAAGAUUUUCUGAGUGGUUUUAUUACCAAUACAUGCCCAGAUAAAGUUUUCAGGUUUCAUGGUGGGCAUGUUUGGUGCCAACUGAAUGAUCACCUGGUUUUUCAAUAUGGUUCCUGCCAUGAGCGAAUGAAUUGAAUGAGCAUGGAAAGAUGACCAUAAAAACAGAACUUAAGAGUUGCAUUUCCUAUUGCUAAUCAUGGGGGUUUCAACUGUCUAGAGGAUUAGUCACUAAUCGAGGCUUCGAUAAUUGCUUACAUAUCCCAGAUCUAUUAGGUUACCGAUGUGAGACUCAACACAUGCCACACAACCUGAAGUUUCACUACAGUUACCAAAAAUUUAGAUCAAGCUCAAAUAGUCACUAGCAAGGACCAAGUCUACAUCCAUCUUUGGUAGACCAGUUUGAAACUGCUUAUGGCAUCGUUAAAAGCAUUUUCUGACAAAUAAAAGCGCUUCUGAUGAUGUUUGGAUAAAAUAUAAUACUUUUGGGUCAUAUAAGUGCUUUCUGGACUUCAAAAUCUUAUCUAUCAAGCAAGUGAGCUUGAACAAACCUAAUUUAGAACUAGUUGGACUAAAAUAUUUGCAUAACAAGUUAGUGAUAGAGGAUCUCACAUUUCUCACUUACCAUCAUUGUCAAUUAUUCCUUCAUCAAUUAACUUGGGGAUGCUAAACUUCAAGGCCAAGACUGCAGCUGAUGCCGGCCAAAAGGCGACCACCUUGGUUUUCAUCUUCACCGCAAUUUCCAGAGCCCACCCGAUAGUCUGAUCAGCAAUGACACAAGUGAUUUUAUCGCCUUCCCCUCGGUUAUUAAUCUUCUCUAUCAGCUCCUCUAACUUCCCUGGCAUGACUCGUCGCGCUGCUUCUGAUAACUUUCCUAGGUCAUUCCUGUCCUGCCCCGGUUCUAAGCCAUCCGGUAUUGAAACUAGAUCGAUGCAAUCCCUCCUUAUAUGACUUUGGUCAUCCCCCGAGGAGUUCGUGACGCGGUUGUGAUUGAAGUCUGUGUUGACAAACGUGACCUUGAAGCCAUGAUUCACUAAGCAUUGUGACAACUCCAUCAUGGGAAUUACAUGGCCUUGUGCAGGAGCAGGAAUAACUAAAAUAUGUGGGCUGUUCAUUGGUGUUUCUUAUUUUUUUUUCGACUUUCAGAGUGUUCUUAUCUUAACCAGAUCGAUUGACCGAAUCUGGGAGGAGAUCUGGGGCAGCUGUUGAGGAGCCACUAUUUGUUGCUUUUGGUGUUUUGGUCUUGUUUUAAUAUUCACUGCUUGGAUUUAUUAUGUUGUUGUUUUGUUUGAUUUCAGUUUCAUUACUUUGUUCUUGAUAUGUGUGUGUGUAUAUAUUUAUAAAUAAAUAUAUCUAUAUAUAUAUAUAUGUAUAUACGGCAAACUUCAUAACCUUAUCCACUGCAUUUGGAGAGGGAUCCAUAUGGAAAAUAUAUCCACAAAAAUACCAACUUGUUAUCAACAAAUAUCAACGGAAUCCCGCUGUGCCAAAUAAUUGAUAUUUGUCUCUUGUUUUUAUUCAAUAAUUCAUGGAACAAAGUGUUUCGCAGAAAUAAUUGUUUCCAUCAGUUCAUGUGUGAUUUUUUUGGUAGCUACUAGUUGACUAAAUGUUAGUAGUUGAUGUGUGCUAGCGACAAUCUUCUAAUAAUUGCCAGUUUCUUAUUCAUUAUUGGUGAUAGGAUUUUUAGUACAUUCGCAAAUAAGUUAAAAUUACACAAACACAUGAAAGGCUUGUAAGAGUGCAAGAUAGUUGUAGUAUGAACGCUCAUGCAAGGUUGUUCUUCACAGGAAUUGAGUGAAUAAUCUGUGUUUAAACUAAUCCUUAAUUAACUAUUUAAAAAUAGAUUUUAGAAAAGAUUGAAGAUUUUGUGAAAUUUAAGAUAUGAAAAUCACAAACAAAACAGUUUUAAUUUAAGGAAAAAAAAUGCAAAAACAGAAAGUAGUAAAUAGAUUUUAAGAAAAUUACUUAUGGGAAAGACUAGGGUUCAACUGGCGUUAUUAACAAUCCUCUAUAAUUUUACCAACUACAUAUGAAUUUUCACAUACAUGCUUUGAAGGUUAUGUUUUCAUAAUGCAUAUUUUCAUCGUGAUGUUCAAGUGAAAACUUAUAUCCAACAUGCAAUCCGUCUGUGAUGUUCAGAUCAAAUAUAAUUAACAUGCAAGACUCAUUAAGUUCUGUGAAAACCCUUUCAAAACCAUGAAACCCUUAAGAGAGUGAUGUUCGCCUUAAGUAAAAUUACAAUUACUAAUCACAAGAAACCCUUUUCAAUUUCAGGAUGAUGUUCCACAUAAAUUGCUUAUUUAAUUACCCUGAUGGUGGCCAAUCACUAAGUCAAUUAGAUAGUUUAUGAAUGUGUGAUAGCCGCAGUCGUCUACGUGCAAAUGAAUGAUUGUCAGUUGUCAAUACGUUAUAAAAUUCACUUGCGUCAACGAUUAACAAUCGCUAUGUGUGAGCGGAUAGUUGAAAUGUGUGCAUAUUACAUUUUCUACUAAUUAGGGUUUUAGUUUUUAAGAAUUAAGAAAGUGAGAGUGGCUAGUUGUUUUUUUUUUUUUUAAAUUUAAAAUUUAAAAUUUUUGGUAUAGCAACUUUCAUUCAAAGAACUAAAAUAUACACAAAGCCGACAAUAUACACAAAUCCCUCCUCCAAAGACCCAAACAAAAGGCAUAAGCCCCGGCCCAAACAAACCCUAACACAACAAGCCAGAAAAAACAAAAAUUCCCAAAUUGGAAUCCAUAAACAGUAGCCGCUGGAACCCCAUGGAAAUCAGUCAUACAUUCCCAAGGUUGCCAAAAAUGCCCCAAUUUGCGCAUAAUCCGAGUCAUCCAGAUAAACUCCACACUUCCAGUCAUAACAUCGUCACCCAAGGUGCUUCCAGAUCGAAGCUCAAUCACCAAGGAGAACAGUCCCAUCAAAACAGUUGCGGCGGAAAGUGGCAGUAUGAAGACCCGAACCAAAGUUCUGCACACUUUUCCUUGCAGAAUUGAAACUUCACUAGAGGAAAUUUCACAUUUAAACUGGGUAUCGAGAACAUGACUAAAAAUGGGAGUUGAAACCGGAAGAUCGGAUAGAUCUACACAGGGAUCCAAGUCGGAAAUACAAGCUAUCUAGAAGGGACAUAGGAGACAAACCGAAGGAAAAAGGAGGAGGAGGGACUGGGGCUGCCACCAACCCAAGCCACAACUAGGAUCGGUAGCAGUAAAAGUGAGAAAAAACUAUAGAACCAAGCUUGAAAACUAAAGAAAACUCUCACACGUUGAAGAGAAAACUCUCUCACAGAGAGAGAAGCUCUCACCAAAACGGGAGAGAACUUACAAGUAUAUUAAACUGAGAGUGGCUAGUUUGAUAUUGUAUCUUACAAAAGUGUGCAAAAUGGUUUUUUUCAAAUUCCAUGUUCUUUCUUUAUUUAAAACAAGAAAACAAAGAAGAAGACACUCCCAUGAUCUUUCAUCUCAAAAGCAUUAUCUGUGUCACAUCUUCGUCAGCAGCAUUUGUCCAUACUAGAAGAUAUUGCUUCUCCUUUUAUGAAAAGCUCCAAUAAAGUAUAUUUCUUUUUCUUUUCUUUUUUCAGGUUCGUAUAUGGGGUUGCCCUCUAAUUGGAUACUUGCGUUGACUGUCACUGUAGUCAGUAAGCACGAACAAACUCUACUACCCAAAAAUCGAAUCAAGGAGUUUUUUCAAUUAGUUAUGACGCAACAUGAAACUAACAAGGGGUGCCAACGUAAGCUCUUGAAGAACAAGUUAUGGAGUCCAUCGGAUUUUGUUGAGAACAUUUAUUUGAUUAUUGAUUGAAAGAUGAGAUUACAUUUGAAGCUAACGGCUUAAAUAACCUAAUUACAAUGCCAUGGAAAAAUUCAAGGGCCUUAUGAAAAUAAACGAGAUUAAUCAGACGAUAAACGAAAAGUCUUAAAUUAUUAAAAUGCAGUUUUGGAAGCCUAAACGGUCUUGGAUGACCAAAAUCCACCGUAUAUCAAACCAAAGUGGUAAAUCUAAACUGUUACAUUGUUCUCUUUCAAAAAUGUAUCAUGAGCCUAAAUCGGAACUCGGACGUUAAAUCUGCAAAUUCCUGAUGCGUCCUUUUCACUUUCAGUUCAUUUUCUCUUCAAUCCACUCAGCCAUCUGCUCUACAUCAAGUUAUAUAUAUAUAUAUGUAUAUAUCGUGAAAUAUGCGUGGUACAAUGCUUACCUAUCAGGUAAGAUCAGAAUUAAUUUGAUUCAUAUUUCAUCCUAUCGGCUCUGCUAAUCCGACCUAUUAACCCUAAUUAUAUAUAAUUGUAUAUUUUCAAUGUUGAACAAAUAGUAAUGUAUUUAAUCAAUUCAAAUACAAGUAUAUACACCUUGAACUGUCAUUCAUGUAAUAUUGUAGAAUUUUAAUGUGUGGAGACUAAAUUUCGUGACCACGAUUCACGGAUAUAAUUAAGAUAUAAAUAGAUUUCUGAAUUUUAUUGUAUCACUGUAUCAACUGAAGCAUGAAUCUUAUAUUAAUUCUUAAAAACAGAUGAUUAGCACAUUUUCUUCUUUGCCUCUUCCACUUGCAUGCCCUAUGAUUUCAUCCAUUCAACAAAAUUCUUGAAGAUCUUGUUAGAUUGGCCGCCUUCUUCGACAUUGGCGAUGGCCAAUUCCUUCAGUUUCAAAGCUCUUUCGUUGAAAUCUUUGUCUCCAAGCAGUUGUUCCAACUUGUUCUUAAUUUCUUCUUUGGUGGUGAUGCCAGUUUCAUUCUUUUCGAAUUUCAAUCCCACCUUCCAAACGUCACAAACGUAGCUCUCAUUAGUGAACUGCUCGGCAAAGUAUGGCCAGCACAAGAAAGGAACCCCAUUGCUUAGGCCUUCAGGGUAGAGUUCCAACCGCAAUGGCUUAGGAAGCAAGCAAUCGAAGGAUGAGCCAGAACCUUCUGUUGAGGUGCCCAACCCACCAUCCGACUGCGAGAGGCUACUCGCUCUUGAUAUCCUUCCGGGUAGGGAUCACUCGUCGUGUCAGUGAUAUCCGGCUGCACGACCCAGAGAAAUGGCCUCUCCGAGAAUUCGAGAGCCAGAGCCAAUUCUUUGAAUUGGGUUGGACUAAAAAUUGUGAAGCUGCCAAAUGCAAUAUAGAUCACUGAGCUGGGUGGCUGGUGAUCCAGCCACUCUAAGCAAGUUGAGUCUUGUGGCCAGAAGUAGCCUGCUGAAUUCCCAAGCUGUCUGCUCGCCAAGAGCGGGCCUAUUGGUAGAAUCUCGGGUGUAAAGGUGAAUGUUGCUGGCUCAAGAUCAUACGCAGAGUUGCAAAGAAGCCAGUCCGCCACUUGCACAGCCUUGUUG